rnacentral:rRNA from 1 species
AUUGAACGCUGGCGGCAGGCCUAACACAUGCAAGUCGAACGGUAACAGGAAGCAGCUUGCUGCUUCGCUGACGAGUGGCGGACGGGUGAGUAAUGUCUGGGAAACUGCCUGAUGGAGGGGGAUAACUACUGGAAACGGUAGCUAAUACCGCAUAACGUCGCAAGACCAAAGAGGGGGACCUUAGGGCCUCUUGCCAUCGGAUGUGCCCAGAUGGGAUUCGCUAGUAGGUGGGGUAACGGCUCACCUAGGCGACGAUCCCUAGCUGGUCUGAGAGGAUGACCAGCCACACUGGAACUGAGACACGGUCCAGACUCCUACGGGAGGCAGCAGUGGGGAAUAUUGCACAAUGGGCGCAAGCCUGAUGCAGCCAUGCCGCGUGUAUGAAGAAGGCCUUCGGGUUGUAAAGUACUUUCAGCGGGGAGGAAGGGAGUAAAGUUAAUACCUUUGCUCAUUGACGUUACCCGAAGAAGAAGCGCCGGCUAACUCCGUG